GAUGAACGCUGGCGGCGUGCCUAAUACAUGCAAGUCGAGCGAACAGACUAGGAGCUUGCUCCUCUGACGUUAGCGUCGGACGGGUGAGUAACACGUGGAUAACCUACCUAUAAGACUGGUAUAACUUCGGGAAACCGGAGCUAAUACCGGAUAAUAUAUUGAACCGCAUGGUUCAAUAGUCAAAGACGAUUUUGCUGUCACUUAUAGAUGGAUCCGCUCCGCAUUAGCUAGUUGGUAAGGUAACCGCUUACCAAGGCAACGAUGCGUAGCCGACCUAAGAGGGUGGUCGGCCACACGGGAAGUGAGACACGGUCCAGACUCCGACGGGAGGCAACAGUAGGGAAUCUUACGCAAUGGGCGAAAGCUUGACAGAGCAACGCCGAGUGAGUGCUGAAGCUCUUCGGAUCGUAAAACUCUGUUAUUAGGGACGAACAAAUGUGUAAGUAACUAUGCACGUAUUGACGGUACCUAAUCAGAAAGCCACGGCUAACUACGUG
rnacentral:rRNA from 1 species